ACCAAAUUUCAACAAGUCUUUCUCCACACUUCUUAACACUCCUCAUGCAUCUCUACCACUUGUAAUCAAUCAAAUUUAUUGUAUUCUAACAUAUUCUAAACCCAAACAACACUAGAUAAGUCAUUUAGUGGUUCAACGCAAUGUUUCCGAGUUCUUAGCCCAUUUGGGACCGAAUUUCAACAAGUCUUUCUCCACACUUCUAAACACUUUUCAUGCAUCUGUAGCACUUGUAAUCAAUCAAAUUUAUUGUAUUCUAACAUGUACUAACCCUAAACAAAACUAGACAAACCAUUAAC
rnacentral:lncRNA from 1 species